UGCAAGUCGAACGCUUUUUCUUUCACCGGAGCUUGCUCCACCGAAAGAAAAAGAGUGGCGAACGGGUGAGUAACACGUGGGUAACCUGCCCAUCAGAAGGGGAUAACACUUGGAAACAGGUGCUAAUACCGUAUAACACUAUUUUCCGCAUGGAAGAAAGUUGAAAGGCGCUUUUGCGUCACUGAUGGAUGGACCCGCGGUGCAUUAGCUAGUUGGUGAGGUAACGGCUCACCAAGGCCACGAUGCAUAGCCGACCUGAGAGGGUGAUCGGCCACACUGGGACUGAGACACGGCCCAGACUCCUACGGGAGGCAGCAGUAGGGAAUCUUCGGCAAUGGACGAAAGUCUGACCGAGCAACGCCGCGUGAGUGAAGAAGGUUUUCGGAUCGUAAAACUCUGUUGUUAGAGAAGAACAAGGAUGAGAGUAGAACGUUCAUCCCUUGACGGUAUCUAACCAGAAAGCCACGGCUAACUACGUGCCAGCAGCCGCGGUAAUACGUAGGUGGCAAGCGUUGUCCGGAUUUAUUGGGCGUAAAGCGAGCGCAGGCGGUUUCUUAAGUCUGAUGUGAAAGCCCCCGGCUCAACCGGGGAGGGUCAUUGGAAACUGGGAGACUUGAGUGCAGAAGAGGAGAGUGGAAUUCCAUGUGUAGCGGUGAAAUGCGUAGAUAUAUGGAGGAACACCAGUGGCGAAGGCGGCUCUCUGGUCUGUAACUGACGCUGAGGCUCGAAAGCGUGGGGAGCGAACAGGAUUAGAUACCCUGGUAGUCCACGCCGUAAACGAUGAGUGCUAAGUGUUGGAGGGUUUCCGCCCUUCAGUGCUGCAGCAAACGCAUUAAGCACUCCGCCUGGGGAGUACGACCGCAAGGUUGAAACUCAAAGGAAUUGACGGGGGCCCGCACAAGCGGUGGAGCAUGUGGUUUAAUUCGAAGCAACGCGAAGAACCUUACCAGGUCUUGACAUCCUUUGACCACUCUAGAGAUAGAGCUUCCCCUUCGGGGGCAAAGUGACAGGUGGUGCAUGGUUGUCGUCAGCUCGUGUCGUGA
rnacentral:rRNA from 2 species